CAUCGUCAAAAUUAAAUUGUACUUUGUGAGUUUAUCUCAUGGCCGAACCAGGGCAAUCUUGAUGUGUUAAUGAGCAGUUUUAGAGUAAAAAAAAAAACCAAGCACGCGAAUGUUUAGCAAAUGAUGGAGUCAGACGACAUGGUGUGAACAGCUCCGCAGGCCCUACUUUUUAUGGCUCUUCAGAGAGAUUAAGGCCAGGUGGAACAGGGAACCAUGCAUGGAAACCCUUGCACUGUGUUUGUUUUGGUUGAUUGAUUUUGCUUAAUUGUACACAGAGGUCAGGGGAUGUUUGUAAGGGUUUGAUUUUUGUUGAUUGACAAACCUGAUUCGAGAUGAUAUGCUGGUUUGGGCAUAACAUCUUAAAAUCAAGUGCUGUUUCUGUAAUCACCUGGGUGCUUUCCCUGAUUCAGAAAUGAAAUCUUUUAAUUUUCAAAAAAAUAAAAAAUAAAAAUUUGAAGUA